rnacentral:lncRNA from 1 species
AAUUUUCAAGAUUUUCAUAGAUCUUCUCGAUCGACACUAUUUUUGAAACUUUAUACUUUGUAAUUAAAGAUGAAAAUAUAUUUUAAGGCUACCACAAAGAUUUCCAGGAUUGAAACUACAUUUCUCGACACUAUUUGAAGGUGGGCUCUAAUUUGAUUGUUUAGAGGCUCGGCUCUAUACAAACCGCGCCCAUUAUGUAAAUGCUAAUAGAUUUUUGUAUCUAAAAACAAACUAUUUUAUAGGAUGUGC